rnacentral:rRNA from 1 species
GUCCACGCCGUAAACGAUGUGAACUAGAUUUGAGAGGUUUGACCCCUUUCGAGUCGUAGCUAACGCAUUAAGUUCACCGCCUGGGGAGUACGGUCGCAAGACUAAAACUCAAAGGAAUUGACGGGGGCCCGCACAAGCGGUGGAUUAUGUGGUUUAAUUCGAAGCAACGCGCAGAACCUUACCUGGGCUUGAAAUCCUGAGAAUCCGUCCGAGAAGACGGAGUGCCCUUCGGGGAAUUCAGUG